AAUGGCCGCGGUACUUUGACCGUGCUAAGGUAGCGCAAUCAAUUGGCUUCUAAUUGGAGUCAGGAAUGAAUGGAAUAACGUGGUUUAUCUGUCUCUAAUUUAAUUAAAUUGAAAUUACUUUGUAAGUGAAAAAGCUUACGAACAGAAAAAGGACGAGAAGACCCUAAGAGUUUUACUUAUUUUAACUAUAUAUACCAUGGUUUAGUUGGGGCAACAUAAGAGCAAAAUAUAUAAANCAAUCUCUUUAANAUUNACUAACCGAUUUCUUUUAAAUUUGAAUAAAUUACCUUAGGGAUAACAGCAUUAUAUAGAAAAUAAGUUUGUGACCUCGAUGUUGGAUUNGGAAACUAAAAGGUU
rnacentral:rRNA from 1 species